AGUGAACGCUGGCGGUAGGCCUAACACAUGCAAGUCGAACGGCAGCACAGUAAGAGCUUGCUCUUACGGGUGGCGAGUGGCGGACGGGUGAGGAAUACAUCGGAAUCUACUUUUUCGUGGGGGAUAACGUAGGGAAACUUACGCUAAUACCGCAUAUGACCUACGGCUGAAAGCAGGAGAUCUUCGGACCUUGCGCGAUUGAAUGAGCCGGUGUCGGAUUAGCUAGUUGGCGGGGUAAAGGCCCACCAAGGCAACGAUGCGUAGCUGGUCUGAGAGGAUGAUCAGCCACACUGGAACUGAGACACGGUCCAGACUCCUACGGGAGGCAGCAGUAGGGAAUAUUCGGCAAUGGGCGAAAGCCUGACCCAGCCAUGCCGCGUGAGUGAAGAAGGCCUUCGGGUUGUAAAGCCCUUUUGUUGGGAAAGAAAAGCAGCAGGUGAAUACCCGGCUGUUCUGACGGUACCCAAAGAAUAAGCACCGGCUAACUUCGUG
rnacentral:rRNA from 1 species